UAAAAAAGCAUGAUCACUUUUAAUUAAAAAAGCAAGAGAAUAAAAUAUUUAAUUUUGCGUUUAAUAAUAUGAAUUCUUUUCGCAACGCUGAAUAGGCUUUGUAAAAAUUUCUAGUAUUAUAUAUAACUUUUAUACUUCAUUAUUCAAUAAUUAUUCAAUUUUAUGGUAGGAAACUAAUUAAUUAAGUUUGGUAAGUAGGAAUAUAUGACUAUCUCGAAGUUCGAGGCAAUGUAAAGGCCACGACUUCAACAAGACUACUUUUAUUCAUUGACCUGUUCUAAUUAAUCGGACAUUGUUAAGUUAUAAAAUUCUCUACUCUUAUAUUACAUUUUAUGAAAUUAUAUACUUUCUUAUUUUUUAAUUACAUAGUAUGUAAACUAAUUGUUUUCCUAUCGAAUUCUUGUAUUGAAAGCGAAAUUUGUGGAAUUUGCGGAAGCAUACAAUUUUUUUAAAUGCGAUAUUUUCAAUUAUCGUUUCUCUUUACGACUUUUCGGUGCUGUCCUAGAAAGAGGAAGUCGGGCAGGGCUUGAGAUAUGAGAUUGAGGAAGCGAGCAGGGUGUGAAAAAGCGAUAUGAACGGGCGUGAGCUUAUAUAUCGAGAGAAGAUAGAGAUAAUGAUGAAGGCUGGAAGCGAGUGGCUGCGAGAAGUGAGAAAGCGUGCUCAAUACGUGUUUCCUUUAUCGCGUUUCACCACCGAGUCGUGAGAUGAACGAAGGGUAUCUGACAUUUUGAAGCAUAGAGAUCAAUCUGAAAUAUCUUUUCAGUAUGUGUAGCUUCGCCUUAUUGUACACAUUGCGAAUGCUUACGAAGUAAAGGCAAUGUUUGACGAUUCCUCUACAAUUUUCUUUAUUGCAGAUAUAAAAUUCCCCCCUUACCUCCCCCCCCCCCGAGUCUUCCUGAGGGCUUUGUUAUUAUUCCGUGUCAUUGUUCGUUAUUACAUCUGUGUCCACUUUUUAUAACCAUUUUACAGAAAAAUUUCAUCCCUUUCAUCGCUUUAAUUUUCAGUGCGCAAACAUUUUUUGUGUACCGUCAAAACAAACUCGCGUUGUAACAUCCGAGCAUAAAGUCAACCGAAUGUGAUAAAAUUUUAAUCGCGAAAUCAACGCGGUGGCGUCGUUGUCAAUGUGCGAAUUCCUGUUUUCCCUUUCCUUUUGUUAAACUCAUCAAAAUACCCUUGCCGGGAAGUUCUUUAUCAAGGGCUCGGCUAAUCGACAUACGAUCGCGUCACCGGGAGGUGCCGGCAACGAUUUUGACUGGGACGGGAAAUAAAAUCGCAAACAGCUGGACGAAUCAAGGGGAGGACAAGAGAACGGUGGAAGGAAAAGAGCAAUGGAAAAGGCGAUGAAUCUCAUCGGCCGCCGGCGUCGGAUCGUAAAUAAAAAUGAAUCGUUGUCGACAUGUCGAGAGCGAUAGAUCAAAAGGUAGCCACGAUCGAGAAGCGACGAGGAAAAUAAAAGAAAAUUAUUGAGGAACGAAAUAAAUCAAUGCCCCCUCUCUUCUCCUGCCCCCGGGACGCACGGUAAAGGACGAGCAUGUAGUAACGGCGAAAACGUCACGCUGGUAUUAGAGCGACUGCACUCUGCGGUUCGAAAUGAAUGCGAUAAGGGAAACACGUGUUGAGCACGGUCUCUCACCCUCUGAGGGGUUUCCCCAAUGGUUCUCUCUCUCUCUCUCUCUCUCUCUCUCUCUCUCUCGUUUCUUCCCUCAUCCUUGUCGUCGCCAACGUAUAAUCAUGUUUCGCCACUUUUGCAUUUCUUUACGAGUGACGUAACUGUGUGCUACGGUUGUGCGGUAUUUAUUAUGAAAAAUUUUCUGUCGAAUAUAUAAAAGUUAUUUAAAAUAAUACCUGCAUGUUGAAUAGAGUACGAGCGGGCAGAGAAUCGAGAAAGUUGUUUGUGAAAAUAAUAGUACCAUGCGCUUUUGACAAUGAACCUCCUUUCGGCGCGAAUUUAAUUUGAGGCUGGGUUAACAGGGGAAUAUAUACUGGAGAUUAAUGAGAUAUAGUAAACGGAGAUGUAGUGCAGAAAAGUUUGAAUUUGGUUAAAUAACUGAAAUGCUGUCCAAAACAUCCUCCAGUUUUUAACUGGACUGAAACAGUUUUACAAUAUUUUAUCUUCGUGCCAAUUCUGUUUGUUAGACGUAUUUAACAAUAAAAAAUAUAGCAAAUGAAUGUCUAAGGCUUUCCACUGCAAUGCUAUUUUCGAAACUACCGUAGAAAACAGUCGAUUGGGAAUCGCUGAUAUCGCUGAGGAUUUCGAGGAUAAUUCCGCGAUUUACCAAAAGAUUUUACAAUUUCGUCCGCAAACGAACGGCGCGGCAUCUACAUAAAGUUCUCGUUAACAUCAACGACAAAUCUUUACCAAUUUCGGUAACAAUACGAACAAUCGCCAACUACUAUUCGAGGCAGAGAUCGCCUAAACUUUCAGAUCUUCUCGAAUGCCUUCGGAGAUGCGAACGCUGCUAUUUGAUGAAGUCGGGAAUAACGAAGCUUUUUUAGCAGGUCAACAGACACGAGAGUUCCUUGUUGGAAAGAUUUUUAUUAAAUUCGACCGUUCGAUUUUCAUUUAUCCUCUCCGACUGAUAUUUAUUCAUGUACUCUCCUGCGUGCGAUGCGAAUACAUUAAUCUUUAUUCACGGCACGCAUUCGAAUUAGUAAAGUUUGCCUGCAUAUUUCAGAUCCAUGGAUAACAAACGUUUGUAUUAUUUACAACGAGGAAAAUAGCGAUUCAUGUUUGGCUUAAUUCUCACGAGAAAAUACUCGCGAUUAUAAACAACGAUGAAAACAGAUGACGAUAUGGAAACGUCGCGAGCCACGUUUUAUAUAAAUUAGAUUUUUUAGACAGAAUUUAAAAGAGAAAAUGCCUGGAAGAUUGUUGUGAUAUCAGUUUAUUUUAAUCCUUGGAAACAAAUCUCCGAAAAAUGCAAAUGCGCGUAACAGCUGGCCUCUUCAAUCUUUGUUUUGCAAUGCAUCUGCAUGCUGCGAGUUUGUUUUAUUACUUUUUGCCGAAAACGACGCUACGUAAUUUCAUGCGAUAAACGAGCAGUGUCACCGGCAAAUUUCUAACACUCGACGUAGCGUAAGGAACGUAAUUUCGCGCUGUGCGUCGAAAGCUUUUCGAGGAAAAUGCCGGAGAGCGAAAAGGGACGUCCAAUGGAUGAUUACGUCAACGAGGAAAGACUAAAUGCGUUCGAUCUUUUGAUCCUGAUAAUACUGGAUGCCAUUUUCAGUUAACGGAUCUCUUGAAAAACUGGAAAUUUAUACAAAGUUCGCACAUUUAUACAUCAUACAUUAAUCCAUAUUAAUUCACAUUAAUUCACAUAUUAAUCCAUAUUAUUACCAAUUAGAUACUUUGUGAUACAGAAAUAUAGUGCCACAUACAUGUAUAUAUACUCGUACGUAUCGCAGUAAUUCCAAAUUUGUCAAAUUAAAUUUCCACUGUCGCGCAAUUUAAAAUAUCCAUGCUCGUUGAAAAUAAUUUGAAGCAUCUAUAAAGUACAUGACACAUCGGACACGGGAAAGUGUUUGCGGCAGUAUUUUAUUGAUCAAGAGGGGUUUAUUGCUUGUAAGUUGUUACGCUUCGCGCGGAGUGGUGAGACGCGCGAUGGUAACGAGUCAUAUCGUUUUACGACUUUAUCCUUGCCCGUCCUCGCCGAUGUCAAUUUCGCUUCUGGACGUGCCCAAAGUAACCCGAGUUGUCACGUAUCCAAUAAUUUCCCGGGGCUUUCGAAACAUACGGUCCAUCGCUCGAAACUUCUGUCCCUCCUGUAAAUCACAUUAAGCCCGGCAAGUCCACCGAGUGCGUGUAACUGGACGAUAUAUCAAGCCAUAACCGAGCCGCGCGAGAUCCGACGUGUUUUCCCCUCCCUCCUUCGCUCCUUUUCCCCUCUCCUCCCCCCCUUUCCCCCCUUCCGCCGAAUGUGCUUAAUUUUGCAUCGAAAAUUUUCGCGAUAUGAAAAGAUUGAUAGCCGAUACUUAAAUGGGCACGAGUUCGGCCUCCGACAGAAACGAGCAUAAAUCUUUGAUCGUAAAGCACGUAGGAUUGGAAAUGCAGUAGAAUUGGAAGCUCGCUAUAAAUUUGAUGAAGUUAAGCCCACUAAUAAUAAAUUAGAAAAAUCGCCGCACAAAGCUCCAUCGAUUCCAUAAUUAAUAACAGCGGCCGCUGUUAUGUUUCCAUUCGUUAGCGCUGGCAAAUUGCAAAUUAAAAUCGUCCGUUUUUCUUUUUUAACUACAUUAACGCACCCACGCUUCGUUAAUGCGCUUAACUCAAUUUCUGCGCGUUUUAUCAUUCAGCGCCGCAACCUGAUAUUCCAGUCGAAAAUAUUUUUCAUCGUGCGCUUUGCCGAUGCCAUUUAAAUUACCGUUCUCAGUACGACCCAAUACAGCAUCUUCCAUUUUGCCUCACACCGCAUCUCAGAUCGAACGCUCGAUAGCACGCCGAUAAAUUACUGAGGGAGAGAGCAUUGAGGCUUUAUUUAUUCAUCCGAGCGAUCCCGGAGCCUUACCUUCGAGACACGUAACUGGGAACAGGUCGACCCGACGAGGAUAUAAUCGCUUUAGCAGUAUCACUUUGAAGAUAUUAAAUGUACUGCUUGUCUAUAAAUUGGUAAUAUUAGUAAAUAAGAUUUUUAAGUGCUAUUUUGACGUUUUGAUUUUAUUUCAGACUUAAAACGCGAUUCGGGCAGAAACUUUUAUGUAUUGUUAAGAAAAAAUAUAAAUAAUAGCAAAAAUAUACAAUGGAGUGAGUCAAUAGAUUGUCUGUGAUGAGGAAAAAAUUGUUCAAUCAUUUUAGUAAUAAAUUGCGGGAAUAAAAAUGCGAGUUAUUUUUAUUUUAGUAUUCAAUUUCUAUAACCGAUAUCUAUUUAUCAAUUUAUUUGCAAAUAUUAAAGAAACAUACGAAACAUAAAAAAAUGCUCGUAUGUAUAUUAAAUGAGGAUGACAGGUCGUGUUGAUCUCUUUGCGCUUUGUGUAAUUAUCGACAUCGCGAAGUCUGUUUGAAUGUCACAUCGUUGAAACAUCUGCAGCAGCUUGACACACCUCGUAAUCGGAUCAGAACAAAUAAUACUCGGCAUUUAAUGUUUCGACGCGACGUGACGCCGCCGCCCCGACGUCGGUGUCGAUUACCAGCGAAUCCGAGUCUGCGACGUUUAUCUGGCUGGAAUUCCGGAGGAGAACGCGCGGCACGGAUCCUGUGUGACAUCUCUGCCGGAAAUAAAUGGGGACCUUAAGCGUCGCAUCGAGACGGUGGCGCGAGCUCCCGUUCUCUCUCGCUGAAGCUAUCGGUAUUCUAAUUACUCGCAGCGCGAAAAUAGCGAGGAACUUGGGGCGCGUAAUUACACCGGAGGACGCGCGACGCCUUAUUAAGCUAUCUCAUUUUCUUCGGCGAGCAGCAGGCCGCUUGAUGGCUUCGCCGGCCGUGCUUCUUCCUGGAGUUUUAUCCGAUAAAGGACGGGGCGCGAUGUACGAGCCAGGAAGUACGUGGGGGAGGGACGACCCCGGAAUAGCGAAUGAACGAUACAGGCUGCGGAGGGCUAGAAGCUCGAUGGUCAACGCCGGCGAUUACCGCGCGGGGCUCAAAAUAAAAAGAGGAAAGGAAAAAGAAACGCCGUCGCCUCUUCUGGCGUUUAUUUAACUCCCUCGCCCUCCCCUCUCCCCGUGGAAGUGUCUUCCGAGCACAAACUCGGAACUUUGUCCGCUCCCGCGAUACGCCUCUUAAACUACAAGUUUAAAAGAAUAACGCGGACAUCGGAGUUUGGACCCCGACGACGUUAAUAACAAUGCAGUCGCCCGUGUUUUCUUGUUUGGUCAAUUGCAGAAAUUGCCGCGGUGCGAAAUUAAUCGACGAGAGUUUAAGAGGAAAUUUAUUUUUAACCCGAGAAUAGUCACGUGAUACUUUUGCGUAAACAAUCGCCUGUUCUGUAAUUUAUUUGAUCAUUAUGUACAUAAAUUUACACUCAAUAUUUAAAAAAAAAGUAAGAAACAAUGAAAAAGAAAGGGCACAAAUUCUCGAUCGAUAACUAUUGUACUACUAUAAAAUUCUUGAGUUUCGUUUUCUCACUGUGCGAGUGUAAAACACUUUAAUUGUAGGUGCUUCCGGAUUAAUCGAAUGAUUGUUGCGAAAGGAUGGACAAUCUCUCGAUACAUUUAAUAUUUAGUCAAUAUAAUUGAUCUAUUAAAUAAAAGGAUCGCUAAUCGAUGCAGUGGAAAGCACUUGCGCCCUGUGCAAUUACAAUAAUGAAUUGGCAAUUACAGAUUUGUAAAAUCGCGUAAAGAUUUGAAAUAAUUAUUUUUGCAUUACGAUAAAAAAACAGUGUUGGAAUUUAAAAAGAAUUCUGCACGUGCUUUAUUUUUCAUUCGCCAUUUAAUGUGUCGUGUUACACUCUACGAUUUUCUAGAUUCAUCGAAUCCUCGGCCGUGGAGAGUAAUUUUCGUGUGCAAACUUAGACGGCAAUGCUUCACGCGACACAUUCACGCACGUUGUACGAUGGUAUCGCGAACGACUUUGCGGAACAAGUCCGUGGGAGUUCGUCACACGACAACCAUUCCGCGAAACUUGCUCCAAACGGCCGCCGCGCCGCCGCGCCGUUCGUCCACACUUAGCAACUUUUCCAACGGGGGGGGAGGCCCGGCCUGUAUCUAAAUCACUUCUCGCUAACGAUAAUCUCGGCCUUAGAGGGCAUAAGCUUAAUCGCGCCGCGCUAAUUUCCACUCGAAACUCUCCAGACUGCAAUAGUCGUAACAUUCGCAUGAGAGCCCGCGUAUGAGAACGUGCCAAGGAACCUCACCAUUUUGAGAGCUCGUUCUCGGUCCUCCCACCUUUUUGCCUUCAGCGCGCCACCAGCGCAGGCUUAAGAGUACGUAGCUUUUAAUCGUGAACUUACGUAAUGCGAACACGAACGCUAUGUUAAGGUCGCGUACGAUCCGUUAAGUUCUAAUGCGGCAGAUCCGGCAGUUACAUCCAUCGGCCAUUGCGACGAGCUAAUUAGCUAGACGCUAGAGCUAAUGCAGAGCCGACAAGGCGAUUUCGGGGCCGGUAUAUUCCCCCGGUUUAAUUCUAACGACCGGCACCCCGCUAAUCUUCCGAAAUUAAUCACCGCUGAUAUAAGCCAGAAACGCUCGCGGACCGCGCGACGUAAUUUCCGUCGGCAGGACUCCAUUCUCCUCGUUUGUAUCCAUUGCUGGGAUUUUCAAUAGAUACGGCACCGGCACUCGGGAACAUUUCGGAAUCUCUUUUCUCUCCCGUACCAUUUUAUUAUCUUAUAAAUGGCGCACUCGUCAUGGCGCGGAUUUGCUUGAGAUUACGAAAUAAUAUUACGUCCGCUUUUUCUUCAACGUAUGACGUAAUAUUUUGCAAUAUUUACUUCACAGAAAGAACGGUUUUUUGCUAAAAAUAACUAUGCUGGAAGCUCCAACUGAUUGCUAGAAUAUCGAAAUUCCUCAUAAUUAUUUUGAUAGUUCAACAAAAUUAUUUUCGGAUCUGCAUCUAGCUAAAUUUUUAGAUACUUUAGCAAAACCGUGUUCAUCUUGCGUUUCUGAUAUUGAUCUCGACCUUACGACUACUUUCAGUUGCGUUUAUUAUAAAUGAAAAUGCCGUCAAAUAAGAAACACGUGUUUACAAAUUAAAUCAUUUCUUUUUUAUCUUGAGAGCGUCAGUCAACAAAUAAGAUAUCAUACAAUUAAAACUUAUUCAUCUGCUUAUGAGUGCCUGGCGCACACGUAAAAUGUAUAUAGAGACAAUAUACAGAGUCUUCUAACAUUUUUCUAUCCUCGUAACUUUCAAGAAAACGACUUUCUCCUCCAUAGUGGCAUAGCCUGAAGCAUCGGGGGGAAACAAUGAGACCGUGCCCGCAGAAAACGAUAUAUUCGUACGUGACUGCUGUGAAAAGGAGCGUGCUUUCCCGUCGGACGUAUAAUAACGCAAUUACCAGCGGGUUCGAGAUUAAGUGGGAAAGAGUUACGGAAAAGAAGGAGCCGUUCACCCGUUACGCGUACACGCCGGCCGACGGAAACGGGAUGAAGCGGAUGGAAUUCGAGAAGCGGAAUCCAGGAUAAUUCUCACUUAAUCCUUGGACACAGCCCUUGUGACGAACCAUUCGUUACGCCCCGCGACGGCGACGAGUAUUUUCGUCGUGGUAUCGCCGGCCGCGCGCGGAUAAUCCCAUCUCCGAUAUUGCUUCCAUCUUUAAUGCACUCGAAAUCCAUCCACUUCGAGACACAAUAUACGUCGUUCGAUAUCACACACGGGGAAACGACAGGCAAGUGGAAGAGACGCGGCGUCGUUUGGCCAUUGAGGACUCAUCUUUGGUCAUAAAAGGAGUCUGGCGGAUAAACCGUGAAAGUGCCAAUAUCUCGCGAAUAAAAGCACCGCCGGCCAUACGCGACGCUAUACAGAAACGGAUGGGCUGGCGCGCGUCGGACGGUAAAAUUGAAGCAAAAUUGACGGUGCCACGAACGAGCGUCCCGCUUGGAAGAAUAUGAGGCUGUCGUGUGAGCACCUGUUCGAUCGAGGAGAAUUAAUUUCCUUUCCGGUCAUCGGAUCGCGACGAAAUGACCGUGCCGCCGAGAUUAAUCGUGUCUUCAUGAGAGCUCGGAUCUCACGUUAGUCGCUCGAUCAGCGAACAACAAGCGGUCCCUCCUCGACCCAUGAACGAGUGCGAGAGACUCGCCAACGCACGAAGGCAAGCAGAAUCGGGUGAAAUUCUCUUCGGGUCAACCCAAAAGACGAGGACAAGAAGAUAGUACUGACCCAUCUUAUCUUGAAAUCUCCACAUCAAUCUUUCCGAAAUCCCAUUUGAAAUAUUAUCCGCUCUAUCCUAACGAAAACGCCCCUCUAAACAGCGUAACGUUCAGUUCUAACGCGCGAAAAAUCGAUAGUGGUCGAAAGCCAAGGCGGAUUGAGACAACGAGGGAGGUAAGUCACGAAUAUCAUUCGGCAAAUAGUAAGAUCCGAGAAGGUAUAACACCUUUCGGUGGCAAUCCUCUUUAUUUGGCUGACGAUUGCCAUCGCUCUUCGUCUCUCCUGGAUUCUCAUCCGAACCCCCACUGUCAUUUCACGUCUUUUCCACGUCGCAAGCAUAAAAGUAUAACGACUUGAGACACGUUACGUUCGCGGUUUACAGGGUGAGGGCGCACGUAGUGCUCCCACGAUAGCACGGAAUCGUCCGGUAUAACAUCGUAAAAUUCGUGGAAGACUUCACGUAAGAGAGGCGAGACGACGACGACGACGUUUCGAAUUGCCGAACGAUCCGAUAGUCGAGAGAAUGUGAUGAAUACCCUCAGUCAUCAUUCUCAGAUAAAAUAAUCGUGGAGGAUAAAAAGAAAUCGCACUUUCCGAAAUUAAAACGGAAGGAUGAAGUGUUAGAUCGG